rnacentral:rRNA from 1 species
AUUGAACGCUGGCGGCAUGCCUAACACAUGCAAGUCGAACGAGUGGCGGACGGGUGUGUAAUGUCUGGGAAACUGCCUGAUGGAGGGGGAUAACUACUGGAACCGGUAGCUAAUACCGCAUACCAUCGGAUGUGCCCAGAUGGGAUUAGCUAGUAGGUGGGGUAAAUGCUCACCUAGGCGACGAUCCCUAGCUGGUCUGAGAGGAUGACCGUCCACACGGGAACUGAGACACGGUCCAGACUCCUACGGGAGGCAGCAGUGGGGAAUAUUGCACAAUGGGCGCAAGCCUGAUGCAGCCAUGCCGCGUGUAUGAAGAAGGCCUUCGGGUUGUAAAGUACGUUCAGCGGGGAGGCGUUACCCGCAGAAGAAGCACCGGCUAACUCCGUGCCAGCAGCCGCGGUAAUUC